rnacentral:rRNA from 1 species
GAUGAACGCUGGCGGCGUGCCUAAUACAUGCAAGUCGAGCGAACGGACGAGAAGCUUGCUUCUCUGAUGUUAGCGGCGGACGGGUGAGUAACACGUGGAUAACCUACCUAUAAGACUGGGAUAACUUCGGGAAACCGGAGCUAAUACCGGAUAAUAUUUUGAACCGCAUGGUUCAAAAGUGAAAGACGGUCUUGCUGUCACUUAUAGAUGGAUCCGCGCUGCAUUAGCUAGUUGGUAAGGUAACGGCUUACCAAGGCAACGAUGCAUAGCCGACCUGAGAGGGUGAUCGGCCACACUGGAACUGAGACACGGUCCAGACUCCUACGGGAGGCAGCAGUAGGGAAUCUUCCGCAAUGGGCGAAAGCCUGACAGAGCAACGCCGCGUGAGUGAUGAAGGUCUUCGGAUCGUAAAACUCUGUUAUUAGGGAAGAACAUAUGUGUAAGUAACUGUGCACAUCUUGACGGUACCUAUCAGAAAGCCACGGCUAACUACGUG